rnacentral:rRNA from 1 species
UACAGAGGGGGCAAGCGUUGUUCGGAAUCACUGGGCGUAAAGCGCACGUAGGCGGAUUUGUAAGUCAGGGGUGAAAUCCCGGGGCUCAACCUCGGAACUGCCUUUGAUACUGCGGAUCUCGAGUCCGAUAGAGGUGGGUGGAAUUCCUAGUGUAGAGGUGAAAUUCGUAGAUAUUAGGAAGAACACCGGUGGCGAAGGCGGCCCACUGGAUCGGUACUGACGCUGAGGUGCGAAAGCGUGGGGAGCAAACAGG